GUGAGAUUAAAAAUCUUAAUUAAACAAUUUAAUUAAUUAUAAGCCUUAAAAAUAUACAAUAAUUGUAUAUUUGAAGCCUAAUACCAUGCGCACCAUGGAGGUUAUAAACCAUGCACACCAUAUAUGGAUUCAACACCUUGCCGCCACCAUUGAUGAUUGCAACUAGCAAUAAAUCAAUUAAUUUUUGAUCAAAUCAUGCAGUUAAAUCAAAUAUUAAACAAUAUAAAUGGCAAAUAUAGUGGCUCUG
rnacentral:misc_RNA from 1 species